AGACGGAAAGACCCCGUGCACCUUUACUACAGCUUCACACUGGCAUUAGGCCGAACAUGUGCAGGAUAGGUGGUGGGCUUUGAAACCGGAACGCUAGUUUCGGUGGAGCCUCCCUUGAGAUACCACCCUUGUUCUGCUUGAUGUCUAACCGCGGUCCGUUAUCCGGAUCCGGGACCCUGUGUGGCGGGUAGUUUGACUGGGGCGGUCGCCUCCUAAAGAGUAACGGAGGCGCGCGAUGGUGGGCUCAGACCGGUCGGACAUCGGUCGUUGAGUGCAAUGGCAUAAGCCUGCCUGACUGUGAGAUCGACAGAUCGAACAGAGACGAAAGUCGGUCAUAGUGAUCCGGUGGUCCCGAGUGGAAGGGCCAUCGCUCAACGGAUAAAAGGUACUCCGGGGAUAACAGGCUGAUACCGC
rnacentral:rRNA from 11 species